UGGGGUAUAUUGCACAAUGGGGGAAACCCUGAUGCAGCGACGCCGCGUGAACGAAGAAGGUAUUCGUAUCGUAAAGUUCUGUCCUAUGGGAUGAUAAUGACAGUACCAUAGAAGAAAGCUCCGGCUAAAUACGUGCCAGCAGCCGCGGUAAUACGUAUGGAGCGAGCGUUGUCCGGAAUUAUUGGGCGUAAAGGGUACGCAGGCGGUUUAAUAAGUCGAAUGUUAAAGAUCGGGGCUCCACCCCGCAAAGCAUUGGAAACUGAUAAACUUGAGUAGUGGAGAGGAAAGUGGAAUUCCUAGUGUAGUGGUGAAAUACGUAGAUAUUAGGAGGAAUACCCGUAGCGAAGGCGACUUUCUGGACACAAACUGACGCUGAGGUACGAAAGCGUGGGGAGCAAACAGG
rnacentral:rRNA from 1 species